ACCGGAGNNNUAUGAAUAUUUAAAUAUUUAAAACUUAAAGAACUUGGCGGUGUUUUAGACCACUUAGGGGAACCUGUCUCGUAAUCGACAAUCCGCGUUAAACCUGACCUUUUCUUGUUAUCAGUUUGUAUACCGUUGUCGUCAGGUAACUUUUUAGAAAUUAGAAGUUAGCGAUAAAAGCAAUUUAAUGACUUAGGACGUCAAAUCAAGGUGCAGCUAACGAAAAGGGGAGGAUGGGUUACAAUUAUUUGAUUUAUAAUAACGGACGAACAACAUGAAUAUGUUUCAAAUUAUAAGGUGGACUUGAAAGUAAAUUAGAUUAUAUAGAUAGUUUGAAUAAGGCUCUGAAACGUGU
rnacentral:rRNA from 1 species